rnacentral:rRNA from 1 species
AACGAACGCUGGCGGCAUGCCUAACACAUGCAAGUCGAACGAAGCCUUCGGGCUUAGUGGCGCACGGGUGCGUAACGCGUGGGAACCUGCCUUUAGGUUCGGAAUAACUCCCCGAAAGGGGUGCUAAUACCGAAUAAUGUCUUCGGACAAAGAUUUAUCGCCUUUAGAUGGGCCCGCGUUGGAUUAGCUAGUUGGUGGGG